AAAUAUCGAAUAUAUACGUUGUUGUAACACCGUGAAAAUUUACAAGCAAUUUAAACUUUUCGAAAACAACCCACAUUCAUUAAGUUAUUACAAAAGGUUUUCAGUUCAUUUAUUAUCAAAGUAUCCCAGAAACAUCAACAUAAAACUGAGGAGCGGUACGAUCACACCUUCGCCUUGCCAUGGUCUAAUGAAGUACCUGAUACAAUACACUGAAACUGUAAGCCCAAAAGCUUAGUGAGUUACCCCCAAAAUACCAACCACAAUACCAUACACAUAUCAUAUCAUAUCAUAAACAGAACAACCAUGCAUAUCGAUUCUAUAGUGUGACUGGUCCGCCUGCACCAAGCCUUCAGUUCAUCAGGUCCACUCUCUCUCCGAGUCUACAGUAUGACUGGUCUACCCGCAUAGGGCCUUCAGUCCACCUAGUCCACUCUCUGAGUCUACAGUAUUACCGGCCCGCUCGCACCGGGCCUUCAGUCUGUCUGGUCCACUCUCUGAGCCUCAACACGUCUGGUCCGCCAUUUUGGGGCCUUCAGCCUAUCCGAACCACUCGCCGGGCCUUCGGUCUAACCGGUCCGCCCUGGGUAUGUUGGCCUACAGCACAAGGCAGGACCCGCCUCAACCCAACCCCAGUCCAACAACCAUGUGCACAUAAACAUAUAAUCAUAUAGCAAUUCACAACUAAUCAACCGAUCUAGCAUAUCACAUAACAUAGCAACAUCCUAACCAAGAUACUGACCUAACCGGUCACUAACAUAACAUUAUCCUAUAUACCAGGAUACCGACCUUAACCAGGUCUCUAACAUAUACCAUACUAACUACCAGGAUACCGACCUUAACCAAGUCCCUAACAUAUACCAUCCUGCCUACCAGGAUGCAGACAUAGCAAAGCAAUAACAUAACAAACAACUACCCGGAUUCCCAUCCGAUAAAGGGCCGACCUUAGUGCCUUAGACCCUGUUGAUAUAGUGAGGAUAACUCACCUGCAACUGCCGACUUGAAGAAACAAGAUCACGCUGCUCCGACCACCAGCACGAGCUCCACCACUGAACAUUACCAAUUAACCAAAACCAUUAAGCACCAAUAAUUACCAAAAUACCCUUGGAAGUCAAACUGGUCAACCCUUGGUCCAAGUCAAAGUCCUUAGUCAAAGUCAACCUUCCUGGUUGACCCUACUCGCUGAGUCAACUAGUUGACUCGUCGAGUUCCUAUGCUCAAAAACUUCCCAUGCCACGACUUAACUCGCUGAGUCACCCCAAGACUCAUCGAGUCCAACAAUCUUCGAGUCCCAUCCUGCACAACUCACCGAGUCAUCCCUCGACUCACCGAUUCACAGCUCAACCAAAAAAGGUUAAGGUUCCACGACCAGACUCGCUGAGUCCAAGAACAGAGUCGCCGAGUCCAAGGCAAUCUUCAACAGACUCGUCGAGUUGUUCUUCCAACUCGCCGAGUCCACACGGGACUAAUCGGACCAAACCCUACCCAACUCGCUGAGUCUUCUCCCAGACUCGCCGAGUCCACAUGGGUUAUUCCAUAAUCUGAAAUUACAUAGCUUCUCCUUUGCUCCAAACAAUAGAUCAGGGUCCCUAUGGUUCAUUAGCAACAUAAAGUUGCUACCUUUACGUGCUUCCAUGACCCAUUCACCAAAAACCAAGCUAGAAUGGAACUUAACUCAUUAGGGCUGGCUUUUGCAUAGCUAAACAAAGGGAUUUCUUCACAUAGAAUCCAUAUAGAACUCAGAUCUGGAGUUUCAACUCCAGAUCUAGCUCAUGCAUGAAGAUCUCAUCAUAAAUUCCUCCAAACAAACCCUAAAGCUCCAUGAAAGGUGGAUCUAGAAGGAAUAAAGCCAAGAUGACGAAUCCUUACCUCAAAACAACCUCCAACUGAAGAGUAAACCAAAUCUCCUCAAGCCUCCUUGAUCCAAGCUUCUUAAUCUUCAAGACUUCCUUCCUAAAUCCACUUAUCUAAGCUCCAAAAUGCUCCCAAGGGUCUCACUUAUGAUUUUAGAGCUGCUGAUUCUCAGGGGAGUCAUAAGGGGCCAAAAUGGGGGCUUAAGGCUCCUUAAAUAGGGUGCAAACCCUAGGAAUUAGGGUUUCUCAUUCCAGCACGGACUCGUCGAGUCCAGCCUCCGACUCGGCGAGUCCAAUCACUUAACACGUGUCUGGCACACGCUUAGACUCGACGAGUUGCAGCUCCUACUCGCCAAGUUCCUCUUUUCCAAANCCCCCCCCCCCCUGAACUCUUGAUUCUGACUUGGGAUGUUACAGUUGUAUAACUCGAAAAAAUUCACUAGCUUUAUCACACGAAUUAGCCAUUUCACAAAUUACUAAAUUUAAACUAUGACAACCACAAGGAGUGUAGAAUGCUCCAGGGUUAAUAUCUAACAAUCAUUUAUGUACACCUUGAUGUUUUCCUUUCAUAUUUGAUCCAUUGUCAUAACCUUGACCCCUAACAUCAUUUAUAUCUAGUCCUAUAUUUUUAAUUUUAUCAAUUAUAGCAUCAUAUAAGCCUUUACCGGUUGUAUUAUCUAUAAUUAAAAAUCCUAGAAAGUACUCCUUAACUUCAAUUGGAUUUGUUGAAAGAUCUAAACAUCGUAAGAUAAUUGAUAUUUGUUCCUUAUAACUUGUAUCGGUAGUACAAUCAUGUAUUAUUGAAAAGUAUUUAGCCUCUUUUAUUUUUUUAAUAAUUUUACUUUUAACUUUUUCUCCUAAUAAACUAAUAAGUUCAUUUUGCAUAUUAUGUCUAAGAUAAUGAUUAUGGAUUUCUUUGUCAUUAAUUCUCCUAAUAUGUUCUUGCAUAAUAAGAUCAAAUUCCGCAAUCAUUUCAAUUAUACUUAAAAAAUUACCAUUAUUUUCUUCAUAAAUCUUUUCAUUUGUUCCACGAAAGGCUAAAUUAUUUUUUUCUAAAGUUUUUACUACAACAAUGAUUCUUUUUAACACAUUUUUCCGAUGUUCUUUUUCUUUAUUUAUUUGUUCUUGGAUUUGCUUGUCAAUUGUUUUGUUAUUUGUUAAUCUAGUUUCUAAGUCAAUCCAUGAUCUCAUAUUAAGAAUGUGUUUGUUACUUGCUUCAUGUCUUUUUAGUAUAAUAGAAAUAUUGUUCCAAUCAUUAUUACAUUUAUGUGCUAAUGAGCAUGUAGAUGUAUUUACAUUAAAUAAUUUACAACAAAAACAAAAAACUCUACCUACAUCUAUGGAAUAAACCAACCAUGUUCGUUCGUAUUUUUCUCCGUUUGGUAUUUUUUGCAUAUAAAGAGAUGUACUAAAGCUUCUUAAAUGUUAAUCUUUUGGAAAUUUAAAAUCAUAAAUCUUAACAGGACCUUUUUCUACAAUUAAAUCUCUUAAAUUUUUACUAAUAUUGUUUCAUCUACUUGGAUCAUAUAUGUUUAAAGGCGUGUUAUCAUUUUCAUUAUUAGUUUGUUCGUUAUCAAUUUCAAUAUUAGGUUGUUCGUUAUCAAUUUCAAUAUUAAUUUGUUCGUUAUCAUUUUCAAUAUUAGUUGGUUCAUUAUCAUUUUCAAUAUUAGUUGGUUCAUGAUCAUUAUUAUCAACAUUAGCUUGUUCUUGUUCAUUAUCGACAUUAGUUUGUUGUUGUUCAUUAUCAACAUUUUUAUUUGUAGUUAAAUAUUUUAAAAACGACCCUUUUUGUUUAUCUAUAAAAACUUAUUCUUGCAUUUUUCGUUUCCUUUUUGAAGAACCGGAUUCGUAUUUUCUUUUUGACAUGAUUAUUAAUUAUUUAGUUAGUAAUAACUAUAAGUAUAAAAGAUAUGGUUUAGAAUUAUACCGCCCAUGAGAUAAUGGAAAGCUCAAAAACAAUGGAAUCUGCCAAUUUGGAAUCAGAGAACAAUGAAAUCAGCCAAUCUGGAAUCAGUGAACAAUGGAAUCUGCCAAUCUGGAAUAAAAAAAUCAAAAAAAUUAAAAAAAUUAGCAACUUUAUCAUCCAUGCCUUUUGGAUAAAGCAAAAAACAAUUAAAAUACAAAAUAAAAAACCAUUCGUUAGAUUGCAAAAGGUUCAUAAGAAUUUUGUGGCUUAAUGGGUUGUUAAAAUAAUCUAGUUACUCAUGUCCAUUGUAAAAAGAUAAACCCUAAUUAAUUGGCUAUUAACCCCAACAAGGGGAUGUCUCAUUUCCAAUUUCACAUCCGUCGUAAAAAAAAUUAUAAAGUGUUUGUUUUUUUUUGUUUUUUUUUCUAAAAGACUAAAAUAUACAAUCUUCGGAAUCAACUAAUCAAAGGAGUCAUACCAAUCUGAUUACCUUUGGCCACUUUUCUUAACCGACAAAGCUCCUAUAUCAAGAUUACUGCAAACAGUUUAUAGUUUUGAUUAUUCUUAUGCAUAAAAUUUCCUAUCGACCUAUGUUGAAAAAAAACAAAGAAAGUAAAGAACAUUUAAAUAAACCAUAAUAAUAUCCAAGAGUAUUCCAGAUUAAUAUAACCUAAAUUGCAUUUAUUCAUUAAAGAACCUCCAUCACGGCAUCACCACUUAGUUUNUUUUUUUUUUUUUUUUUUUUUUUUUUUUUUUUUUUUUUGAAAAUUUAAAAUACUAACACAUUACCUGUUACAGUUUCAAUGACUGAAUGACAGCAAAAUAGCAGCAAAUCAUUAAAUCAAUGGACAAUGAACAAUGAUUUUUAACUUUUGAGCAAUGGAGAAACCAAGAAUGAAGAAAGAAUAAGAACUAAAGUCUGAAGAGGGAAGAACAGCAGCAACGAUUCAACAGAAGAGUGGAAGAAUCAAUUGGGGAAGGCCUAGAAUCGAGUCUGAGAAUGGAGAAAAAGAAAGGAAUUUCAAUCGUCGUAGUGUCGUACUCGUCGCUUGAAGAAUCGAUCAACAGGCGUGAUUUUUUGGAUACUUAUGAGCUGGACUGAAAUUAAAUGGGGCUCCUUACAAUUGGGGGCCCUAAGCCUUACCUUUACUCACUAAAGCAUAAGGUCGGCCAUGGGUAUGGGCAACUAAUUAAGGGGUAUUAUCACACUCAAAAGUUGUCAUCUCAUAUGUCAUGUCACACUAUGGUGUUAUAGCACCAAGUUAGGAAAUAGACAACAUAUUAUGAUUAGGGAUGAGCAUAAACGGGUAUCCAACUAAAUUCAGUGGAACCGGAACCGGCGGUUCCUAGGAUGUCGGAACCGGAACCGAAACCGAUCACAUCGGUUCCUAAACUUUUGGAACUGGUUUUGUUCUGGGUACCCGCUACCUAAAAACUUUCAAACUAUUUCAAGCAAUGUUUUGAAAAACGGUUGUUUUCAAACAUGUAAAAAUCGGACAGUUUGGUUAAAACCAGUUAAAAUCGGUCCAUUUAAACCCUUCAAAACCAUUUUUUUGAAAAAGAAUCACUUUACGUGCCUUAAUAGGAGUCAUUGCGUUUCACUAAAGGUGCUUCAACCUCUCUCUCUCUCUCUUAUUUUAUGUUAGGCGGUAGAUGUGAGAUUCCAAGGUAAAAAAUAAGAAGUGUUUCUUAUACAAUAUAGAAAAAAUCAGGACUGUUUGGUAGCAUCUGAAGUAUUCAUAUCUGGAUGAUGCAAAGGCUCUGUAUGAAUCUGUAUCUGAAUGAUAAGUUGAUGUUUGGUCAGGCAUCUGAAUGUCUGUCUCUUAAUGGUGAAAAUGACCAUUUUAACCCUCUGAACUAUUUUUUACUGUUUGGUUAGAUAUCUAAACGAGUAUGUUAAACAAUACUGAAUUUAUAAACAAUUUUAAAUAAAAUACAAAACGUCAUACAAAACCCAAAUCAAACAAUAAACAAAAUCCGAAUUGAUCAACUACAAAAUUGUAUUUUGUUUUCAAUCCUUCAACUAUAUUCUUUCACGACUUCGCUUUCAAAUUACUCCAUUCACAUCCAUAAGUUGUAAUUUCAUGAAUACAAGCUUGAAGAAAAUGUAUUUUCCACACCUUCUAUCUGUUUACUGUUUACGGUUAACUCAGACCUUUUUUGUGUCAUUUGUUACAUGUCUAGUAUUUACAAUCCAACAAGAACAAGUUUAAUCAAUUUUGAACUUUUUAUUCAUAGCAACAAAAUCCAACAACAACAAAGCAACACAAAUUAAGCAAAAAUCUUAAGAUAGAGCAACAAAAAUCUAUUAUCCACACAAAAACAUAGCAGAAUUCGGAGUUCACAUAGGAAAUUUUGGAGUUCACACAAAAACAAAUGAAUACAGCAGCAAAAAUCUUAAGAUAGAGCAGCAAACGACGAAAUAGAUUUCACACAAAUUUCAGCAGCAAGAAUAGAUCAAACACAAGAUAACAGAUUUUAGGGCUUGAAAAAAAUCGAUUUCACACAAAUCGAUCAACCGCACAAGAAAACAGCAUAACGAGACAGUGGGGGUACUUACCAGCGAAGGGGAGGCGACGAGGAGGGAGGCGGAGGUGGUGUGACGCUCCGGCGGUCCGAUGGCAAGGAGGGAAUCAAUGACCGUUGUCGAUGGGAGAAGUGGGGGAAGAAAAAAGAAACAAACGUUGUUUUCUUUAGGGCUAAGGAUAUCAGAUUGAAACUUUUUCAUCCAGACUUGUCACCACAUCUGACCAAUCAAGACUAUUUUCUCUUAGGUCGGACCGAUUUAGAUGUUCAAAAAGCACCAACCAAACACUUUGAAUCUGAACAAUCCAAAGUCAACCUCUUUAUGAUAUGAUUAAGAGGCCAAACAAACAGCCCCUAAAUUAUAAUAAAAAUAAGUUGCGAACAAUAUUUUCUCAACAAUCCUUCUAUUUGUAUUUACCACAAAAAAAGUAACGAUUAUUUGAUAAAAAACACAAGAUAACAGAUUUUAGGGCUUGAAAAAAAUCGAUUUCACACAUAUCGAUCAGCCGCACAAGAAAACAGCAUAACGAGACAGAGGGGGUACUUACCAGCGAAGGGUAGGCGACGAGGAGGGAGGCAGAGGUGGUGCGACGCUCCGGCGGUCCGAUGGCAAGGAGGGAAUCAGUGACCAUUGUCGAUGGGAGAAGCGGGGGAAGAAAAAAGAAACAAACGUUGUUUUCUUUAGGGCUAAGGAUAUCAGAUUGAAACUUUUUCAUCCAGACUCGUCACCACAUCUGACCGAUCAGGACUACUUUCUCUUAUGUGUCACCGAUUUAGAUGUUCAAAAAGCACCAACCAAACACUCUGAAUAUGAACAAUCCAGAGUCAACCUCUUUAUGAUAUGAUUAAGAGACCAAACAAACAGCCCCUAAAUUAUAAUAAAAAUAAGUUGCGAACAAUAUUUUCUCAACAAUCCUUCUAUUUGUAUUUACCACAAAAAA
rnacentral:lncRNA from 1 species